UACGAGUGCUCCAAGCGUUAUCCGGAAUCAUUGGGCGUAAAGGGUGUGUAGGCGGUUGUGUUAGUCUUCUGUUAAAUUCUUCGGCUUAACCGGGGGCAUGCAGGGGAAACGGCACGACUAGAGGAUGCGAGAGGUGAAUGGAACUCAUGGAGUAGGGGUGAAAUCCGUUGAUAUCAUGGGGGAACACCAAAUGCGAAGGCAAUUCACUGGCGCACUUCCUGACACUGAGACACGAAAGCGUAGGUAGCGAAUGGG
rnacentral:rRNA from 1 species